rnacentral:lncRNA from 1 species
AUGCGAAGACCGCGAGCAGGAGUGGAGGGAGGGGCAAAGGGAGGGUGCCUGCGGGAGCUCCCGGGUCGCUCUGAACUUGAAGGUUUCGCUUUCGUCCAACUAGGGGACAACGAGGUGGCAAUCAACUUCCUCUCCCGAGACACCCCCUGCGCGACAAGGACAGCAGGAACGCCCCUGGAGUGCCCGAUCCCAGCUUUUCCGCCGGCCCGGGAGCGCAGGGGCCUGCAGGAGCCGCGGGGACUGGCAGGGCUCCCGCCUCUUCUCCAGUCGGCGGGUCCAGCGGCGGCGGAGGCAGCAACAGGCACCGAGGCGCAGGAACGUCGGCGGCCGCAGCGGCGGCGGCGGAGGAGGAGGUGUCUGCGCGCGGCUCGCGUUUCCUCCUCCCCGGCAGGGCGAGCGCGGGGGAGGCGAGGGGAGGGCUGAACCCGGGAUCUCCCAACUCGGUCCCCAGGGACCUAAGAGGGGGACGCGAUGCCCCCUCCCUCCCCACAGCGCCGUGUGACUCUGCUCGAGCGGCAUGGCCGAGACGGGCGAGUCACUCGCCGGCAACAGCUGCUGCAGUGCGGUCCACCGCCGUCUCCCUCCCCUCCCUGUCUCUCCCUUCCCGGGCGGUCCAUCCUCAACCUGCUCCCGGGCAGCCAGCCUCAGCCCCGAGAGGUGUCAGGGCGCCGCCCCACCAGCCCCAGAGCAGGGUCUUGGCCAGACGAAUACCCUGGGCUCCGGGGACGCGAAACCCCGCGCCUGAUUAAAGCCCUCGAGGAGGGAUGUGCGGUCCAACCCUGAGCUUAGCAGCCUAUUUAUAGCAGGUGGCACUGCCAGCCGCGCUCCGGGCCUGCGGGGCUCUCAGCAGGUGGCACUGCCAGCCCGCUCUUCACUGCCCUGCGGUAGCCUCGCCUCCUCUCUCCGAAAUGGACAGGGUGAAAACUGCACAGAACACAGGAAGGUGGCCAAGCCUCCUGGAGGCUCUUCCAGACAUUACCCCUUCUUCCCGUCCUAGUCAGGGAGUGAAUUGAGGCACGGGCAUCCUCUGGGGCUGAAUCAAGGAAUCGGGGAACAGCUUAAGUGUCUUUUCCUAUUAAACACCCGUAAACCCAUUUCCGAACAACUGCGGAAUGACGCAGGGGCUAGACUGCCUUUUCCCCUUCCUGAUGGUCCAGAGGCGCGCGCGCGCACUCACACACACCCCUAUCUCUCUCUCCCUCCCUCCCCCGCCCCCACACACCUCCGUGUGCCUACCUCUCUCUCACACACACCUCCGUGAGCCCACCCUCGAGUCAGAUUUGGGGAAGUUAGUUCUCAGCUGCCUUGUAGAGUGUAAGGAGAGACACCAGGGAGAUGUAAGACGUCUGAGAAAGCAGGCUCCUAGGGUUAGGAGAUGGCAGGGUUCAGGAAACAGGCAAACCUCCUAAAUCCCUGUCUUACCAGGUAAAUUUCACGCCCCACGGCUGGGACAGCGAUCUGAGGAAGUG